AUUAUAAUUGUAAUACUUAAUAAAAAAAAACUGAUUGUCCUUAGAACAAGUAGCAAAAGGUUUGGUGGUUGAUACCCGAGAUCCAAGUUUGAAUCCUAGUUGAUUCAUAUUUCCAACUAAGUUUAUUUCUAAAUAAAGUAAACGAAGCGGGUAGCGUGCUAUCUAUCUCUAAAAAAAAUACUUAAUAAAAAUAAUUUUUUAAA
rnacentral:lncRNA from 1 species